rnacentral:rRNA from 1 species
CGCUAGCGGCAGGCCUAACACAUGCAAGUCGAAACGGUAACAUGAGAGCUUGCUCUUGAUGACGAGUGGCGCACGGGUGCGUAACGCGUAUGCAACCUACCCUUAACAUGGGGAUAGCCCAGAGAAAUUUGGAUUAAUACCCUAUAGUAUUUUAGAUCUGCAUGGAUUUAGAAUUAAAGCUACGGUGGUUAAGGAUGGGCAUGCGUAACAUUAGCUAGUUGGUAAGGUAACGGCUUACCAAGGCCACGAUGUUUAGGGGUUCUGAGAGGAUGAUCCCCCACACUGGAACUGAGACACGGUCCAGACUCCUACGGGAGGCAGCAGUGAGGAAUAUUGGACAAUGGACGAGAGUCUGAUCCAGCCAUGCCACGUGCAGGAAGACGGCCUUCUGGGUUGUAAACUGCUUUUAUAUAGGAAGAAAAAGCCCAUGCGUGGGAUAUUGACGGUACUAUAUGAAUAAGCACCGGCUAACUCCGUG